AAGGUUGUAGUUCAAUGGUAGAGCAGAUGUCUCCAAAACAUCUGAUAGUGGUUCAAAUCCGCUCAACCUUG